GGGGGCGAAAUGGGUUCGACAGUAUUGAUGAGGUUAAAGCUGCGGAUUGAGUUGAGUUCCUCAUUAAACGGCUCAAAAAAAGAAACGCAAACGAGUUACCUCUCGCAGCAUAAAAAAUAUGCUGCCGUUCUCAUGUCCCUUUCCUGCGGGGAUAUGAGGGCGUCAUUCAGCAGGAUAUGACCGGUAGAAGGUGCCCUCUGGUCUGCCGGGAUGAAAAUUUAAAGAGGGUCGGUCGCAGUUAUUUUUGUUUGUUUUUUACCUGCGGUUGUAUGAAAAACAAACUACGUCUGUAGAUGCUUUAGCUGAAUCCUUAUUGGACGCGGGUUCGAUUCCCGCCGCCUCCAA
rnacentral:tmRNA from 1 species